rnacentral:lncRNA from 1 species
CUCUCUCUCCUCUUUUAUUUCCCUCUAAAUUAGAUUCUGCACUACAAUUCCAUUGCUAAAGUUUCAAUCUGCACAACGACAUCCAUCGACCCUACCUUGCGAUCAAUCUGGAAUGCAAACGUCUUUGAUCUUCAAGGGAAUUGAACUCACUCCUCUUGGACUUAUUUGACGUGUCUCUCAUGAAAUCUCUUCAAUUGAUAUUUUUUUAAAAUUAUUAUUAAUUUUUUCUGUGAGUUUCUAUUCCUUAAUUAUUAAAUUUGCAUGUUAAAGAUCUAGAGAUAUAUCCUAAUCAUAGGUGGUUUCUUAAUCGCCUACGAUCC